AUGUGCAUUGCCGUCACCUUCACCUAUAUUGUAAAAUGUUUUCCAUUUUUUGUUAAAGGUAUAGAGAAGACAAAGGAAAAUAAACUAGGUGAUAAUGAUGCACAUCUGGAAAAUGAAAAGGCAAGCUGUAAGGAGAUUAAUGAUUCUGCAAUUGUAUCAUUAAACACAUCUGCCAGCUCUGAGAAAAGUACCACUGGUCAAACAAUCAGGGCAGUGCAUGUCAACAAAAUGUUUUGCAGUCAAGAGACCAAAGAAGUGGGCUCUCCAUUGCCACUGUCUGCUUUGAGUGCUUUUGUAAGUUACCAGGAUUUAGGCUGGCCAAAAUGGGUACAUAGAAACUUUUCAGUAGAAGCAAAAAAACUGAAGGAUGGUGAAAAGAAUGUAGCUACUUCCCUUAAAAGAAAGCAGGAUCUGUGUACACAUUGUUCAGAGAAAACAAGAAAAUUACUUGUAAAGAACUGCACUCCUUCAUAUGAAGGAAGAUAUAACUGGACUUCUGGACAAGCAGAAUCAUCUGAAAAUUGUCCUCGUGAUAUCAGAAGUUUGGGAUAUGAAGAAAGAAGAGAAUUGCUUGCAACUAUAGAACAGGCAGUGGCUUUGAUAACUACUAUGGUGUUUCAAGAUGGUUCUUCACAGCUCAACUCAGAGCAGGUUAGUGAGUCACCUGUUUUGGUUAGAAUUAGUUUUGCAGAGCCAUUUACAGAAAACCAUUAGGAGUCUAGAAUCUGGAACAAUUUUGUAUGUUCUUGUUUACCAAAAUAUAAAUGUAAAAGGAGGUAAACCUUAAUACUUCUGACUACAUUUUCUUACCAAGUAAAACUUGAAGAAAAUGGAACCAUUUGGGCUAAGUAGUCAUUUGUGUACUUAAAGUGAGAAUGUUUGUUAGCAUCUUUCUGCUUUGUGACAUGUCUGUCACAGUGGAUUUUUGUUGCAAAGUUGAAGCUUUUGUAUGCUACUCUACAAUGUGCAUGCAGUAACUCCAGUGUACUUAAUAUGUUUCAUAUCCUAAAACAUAUGUGGAAUUUUUUAUAUAGGAUUGUAUAAAAUUUGUCAGAGGAAACACUACUGUAAUUGUACUUAACAGGUCUUAACUUCAUCAGUAAAAGGAAUUGUUGUCUUAGUGAAGAGCCAGACAAAUUGCCUUUGCUCUCCCAGUUACCCUUCAACUGCCUCUACUUGGGAUGAUUCUAAUCAGAAUGAUAGAUUAAUUUAUUUAAAAACUGCAUGGUCAUCUGUUUGGAAACAAGAAGAACAGGCUCAUAAGAAAUAUGCUGGGUGAGAGUAUGUAGGAAAACAUAAGUUUUGCUUUAUGUAUGCUGUUAGCAACUGUGAUGUUGGUUAUGUGGUUUCUUGCAGACUGGCACAGGUUUAAUCUCCCUUUGCUUCAAGUCCAGGUUAGCAGCAUUAGUUAUGUGCCAAGCCUGGGCUAAUAUAAGCCAAACUGAAUAAACUGUUGGAGUGUCAAAGAUUUAUUUUUAAG
ensembl:lncRNA